UUCGAUGGUCCCGCACCUGCUGUGAAACCACCAAUGGAGGAGCAACGUUCCUUGAUUAGAUCCGCUUUAAGCUGUUGAAACGCUUUUUCCGAAACAGUUACUUCUUGGAUACGGCCCAAUGAGGUGGCCAACCACACGGCAAGCACGUGCUUACAGGUAGCUUGGUGACGGUUUUGAAGCACCCAGUAGCGGAAAGACUCGCAGCUGCAGAAGUUGAUACCGGGGAAGAUCUUAUAGAUCGCCGGAUAUUUUGAUCCUGGAACUUCGUAAAGGCGACUGACAGCGUUUGCCGUGAGGUAAACUUUGAUUGGCUUCUUGUCGUCGUGUACCAAUUGAAGAGCUCGACUAAGCAGUGCUUGACCAAACAGGGAUUCCAGCUCCAGCAGGUGUUCUUUCGAUACUGCAAAUAGAAGAAAUGACGACUCUUUGUUCUACAUAAAGGCAAACAGAUUGGUGAAGCUGGUAUAGGAUCUUCAGGACUAAAUUUGGAUAAAUCCCGGAAAAAAAAUUUGAAUUCGGAAUUAUUAAAUUGACAGAUACAUAUUCAAACUACAGUUGCCAGGUAAUGUUGAACAUUUUCGACAGACAAAAAUUCCGUACAGACAGUAACAUCGAUUGUUUCUCAAGAGGGCCGUUUUGAUGGGCCGAUCAGCUAUAAUGUGGCCAACAGACUCAGCUGGAAGCAGUCGAAAGAGAGCUCCGGGCAUCCGUGGAGCAGUGUUGCCAGUUCCUGUGAUUGUCAUCUCGACGGAUAGCUGUGAUAUUCCUGUUCCUAACAAACUAUGUGUUGUUUGUCAGUUUAUUCAUUAUGGUGAGAAAAC